rnacentral:rRNA from 1 species
AUGAAGGAGAUCACGACGAAGAAGAAGAAGACGAAGAAGCCGUCGGUUGUCGUCAGUGCUGGCGAGACAGAUGAGGAGGCGAUGGCGAGGUUUGCUCGGGAGCAUCCGGAGUACGUCCAGGCCGAGAUGGAGUACUACUGGAAGCGUGAGGCGGACCAGAAGAAGAAGGGGCCGAAGAAGGAGGAUGAGGUCGGUCCCUCGACGGUGAUCCCCAUCGAGUCCUCUUCCGAGGAGGAUUGGGCAGACUUCUCGGAGGAGGAGGAGGAGGAGGGGUGCGACGACCCGACGAAGGAGGAGUUCUGGGAGCAGUUCCGUAGCUCCGAUGAGGAGUAG